AAACUCACGAUAAACCCCUGAGUUGAUAAAGAAAGUUUAUAGCGAGCAUUGGGAAACCAAACCCAAUCUGUUUGUGUUUGCAAACUUGCAAUCACUUCAGUGUGACUUGUUUUAUGAGAAAGACCUCAGAUGAAAAAAUGAAAUCUACCAAGGCAAAACUAAACAGGCUGCUCAUACUGACUUUAGCAUUUCACAUCUCAUGCUCAGAAGGAGUCUGACAACAGCGAGUGCUCUGCACAGAGAUCUGAUCUCAUCAUCAUCCAGUCUGUCUGGAAUGACAUGAAGAAACAGAACAAACUCAGACAGACUAAAUCCAGAAGAACUGUGACAAAGUCUCCAGGAUGCUUCAAGAAACCUACCUGCAAAGGUGCAGCACUGUUAAAAGUUUUAGGCACUUGUGUAAAAAUGCUGUAAAAUGAGGAUGCUGUCAUAAAUAGAUUUUCUUUAUCAA